GAGGCCUGGGGCCUAAAGACUUCAACCCCACUCGAAUGGAGCCAGUUGUGGAUAUCCAGAUAUUUAGAGGGCCACCUUUCUGUGUUUUUAUUAAUAAUACAUAUGGACAUCGUAAAAUAAAUUCAUCACCUGCAAGACAGAUCUGUGGCUCUGCAGCUGAAGAAAAUAAACGUCUCCAAAAGCUUCUCAAACGGCUAGAUCUGAAUGCGUUUUUGGGACAUCCAGUACCUUCGUUAAAAUAAAAUUUUAACAGCUUCUACCUUAAACUGUCUACCAUGGACCUCGCCCGAUUCGUAAGAGGUCGGUAAAGGAGACGGUGCAUAAGCGCACCAGUGUGCCUUCCGUUCCUGUCCUACGGUCCCCCAUUUAUUUGUACUCAUUUCCCUUGCUAAUGUCCACGUUUAUCCUUAUACCUGUUGUCCUGUACGUUUGACAAAUUAAAUAAAAUAAAUGAAAAAAUAA